GAUGAACGCUGGCGGCGUGCCUAAUACAUGCAAGUCGAGCGAACAGACGAGGAGCUUGCUCCUCUGACGUUAGCGGCGGACGGGUGAGUAACACGUGGAUAACCUACCUAUAAGACUGGGAUAACUUCGGGAAACCGGAGCUAAUACCGGAUAAUAUAUUGAACCGCAUGGUUCAAUAGUGAAAGACGGUUUUGCUGUCACUUAUAGAUGGAUCCGCGCCGCAUUAGCUAGUUGGUAAGGUAACGGCUUACCAAGGCGACGAUGCGUAGCCGACCUGAGAGGGUGAUCGGCCACACUGGAACUGAGACACGGUCCAGACUCCUACGGGAGGCAGCAGUAGGGAAUCUUCCGCAAUGGGCGAAAGCUUGACGGAGCAACGCCGCGUGAGUGAUGAAGGUCUUCGGAUCGUAUAACUCUGUUAUUAGGGAAGAACAAAUGUGUAAGUAACUAUGCACGUCUUGACGGUACCUAAUCAGAAAGCCACGGCUAACUACGUG
rnacentral:rRNA from 1 species